GCGAAUCCAUGUCCACGGAUGACAGCGCGUUGCUCGCAUUGAAGCUCGCCCCGGGCGGGUUGACCUCCACAUAGCCUGUGCCGCAGGUACGAGAGCCCGCACUGUCGAUCGCGCAGCCGUAUAGCUGGUUGGUGCCGUUGCGCAGGCCUACAAUCGAAGCCGAGGACGCCGUUCCAAGCUGCUGCAAAGUGCCAGUUGUCGGGUCGCCCACACCGAACUCGUAUCGCAGCUGAGUGUCCACAUCGUCAAUCAGGCCCUCGGCACGGAUGGAUGCGACAGCCAUGGGGAAUGUGUCCUUUCCAUCGACCAAGGAGAUGCUGAAGCAGGCCGAAGCGUUCGCGGGACUUAUGCUGCAGGACGGCGGGCUGUCGAGUGGUACGAUUACCGAGGCCAUACCGGUCGCACCGUUAAAUGUCAAGUUGGCAACGAUGGUAACGACGGGCUGAGUAGUAGGCAGGUACGACGAAGGGAUGUUGAGCCGUACAACAUUGGCAGGCAGGCUCUUGUCACUGUCCGCUGCAAGUCCGCUUAGGCUGGGGAUUUGAUCGCUGGACCAGGUCACAGUGGAGCCGCUGUACGAUGGUGUUGACGGGUAUAUGUUCGUUGUUGGUUGUAGUUGUUGUCCCGCGCGUUGUCCAAUGGGCGUACGUAGGUGAACAGUUGCAGGCGUAUCCGCGAGAGGUAGCAGGGGAAAUGCGGCAGGUAGGGGCAGCAGGUCAUCCCAGGAUGGUAAAUUUGCAAAAGCAGGCAAAGGCUUCAUACAGCAUGGGAGGAAAUGCACGCUAAGGCAGCGAGGGACCCUGUACCUAAUGCCCGACACACAACCGCAAUCCCGGACGCCAACCGCCGCAGCACCCACCUGAAGCCGUUGGCCAACAUCAACAGCAGCGUCAGACGCCGGGUGACCGGGUGGCCCGCUGCGCAGGAGGCUCCGGUGCACUGGCGUACCAGUGCUCCGCGGGGGAAGUUGUCAGCGGCAGACCGGGGUCGGAAGCGGACCGAAGCGGAUGACGUCAGCGGUGACUCCCCUGGCGCCACGGCGGUCUUGACAACAGUUACCGUGAAGACGUGGCUCACGCCGUUCUGAAGCAGCCCCCCAGGAAUCUUCCACACACCCGGAAUGGAGGUGCUGUCUCCCAGCUCUGCACCCUUGAAACACGGCUCGGGGAAGUCAUCACGCC
rnacentral:lncRNA from 1 species